UACGGAGGGUGCAAGCGUUGAUCGGAAUUACUGGGCGUAAAGCGUGCGUAGGCGGCUGAUUAAGUCGGAUGUGAAAUCCCUGAGCUUAACUUAGGAAUUGCAUUCGAUACUGGUCAGCUAGAGUAUGGGAGAGGAUGGUAGAAUUCCAGGUGUAGCGGUGAAAUGCGUAGAGAUCUGGAGGAAUACCGAUGGCGAAGGCAGCCAUCUGGCCUAAUACUGACGCUGAGGUACGAAAGCAUGGGGAGCAAACAGGAUUAGAUACCCUGUGAGUCCAUGCCGUAAACGAUGUCUACUAGCCGUUGGGGCCUUUGAGGCUUUAGUGGCGCAGCUAACGCGAUAAGUAGACCGCCUGGGGAGUACGGUCGCAAGACUAAA
rnacentral:rRNA from 1 species